UACAGAGGUCUCAAGCGUUGUUCGGAUUCAUUGGGCGUAAAGGGUGCGUAGGUGGCGCGGUAAGUCGGGUGUGAAAUUUCGGAGCUUAACUCCGAAACUGCAUUCGAUACUGCCGUGCUUGAGGACUGGAGAGGAGACUGGAAUUUACGGUGUAGCAGUGAAAUGCGUAGAGAUCGUAAGGAAGACCAGUGGCGAAGGCGGGUCGUCUGGACAGUUCCUGACACUGAGGCACGAAGGCCAGGGGAGCAAACAGG
rnacentral:rRNA from 1 species